rnacentral:rRNA from 1 species
UGAUGAAGUCCUUCGGGUUGUAAAACUUUUUUCAAGAGGAAGAGGAAGGUCGGUUCUUUUGGUAUAAGCCUCGGCUAACUACGUGCCAGCAGCCGCGGUAACACGUAGGAGGCGAGCGUUAUUCGGAUUUACUGGGCGUAAAGCGCGUGUAGGCGGCUGAUCAAGUUGGAUGUGAAAGCUCCCGGCUUAACUGGGAGAGGACGUUCAAAACUGAACGGCUUGAGUAUGAGAGAGGAAGAUGGAAUUACGGGUGGAGUGGUGAAAUGCGGAGAUAACAGGAGGAACACCAGUGGCGAAGGCGGUUUUCUGGCGCAAGACUGACGCUCAGACGCGAAAGCUGGGGGAGCAAA